rnacentral:rRNA from 1 species
UACGUAGGGGGCAAGCGUUGUCCGGAUUUAUUGGGCGUAAAGAGCGUGUAGGCGGCCAGGUAGGUCUGCUGUGAAAACUCGAGGCUUAACCUCGAGCUGUCGGCGGAAACCAUCUGGCUAGAGUCCGGAAGAGGAGAAUGGAAUUCCACGUGUAGCAGUGAAAUGCGUAGAGAUGUGGAGGAACACCGAUGGCGAAGGCAGCCUCCUGGGCCGACACUGACGCUCAUGCACGAAAGCGUGGGGAGCAAACAGG